GACGAACGCUGGCGGCGUGCUUAACACAUGCAAGUCGAACGGAAAGGCCCUGCUUUUGUGGGGUGCUCGAGUGGCGAACGGGUGUGUAACACGUUUGUAACCUGCCCUUGUCUUUGGUAUAACUUCAGGAAACUGGGGCUAAUACCCGAUAUGAUCUCCUGCUGCAUGGUGUGGGUUGGAUAGUUUCGGCGGUUGGGGAUGGACUCGCGGCUUAUCAGCUUGUUGGUGGGGUAGUGGCUUACCAAGGGUUUGACGGGUAGCCGGCCUGAGAGGGUGACCGGCGACAUUGGGACUGAGAGACGGACCAGAGUGCUAGGGGAGGCAGCAGGGGGGAAUAUUGCACAAUGGGCGGAAGCCUGAUGAAGCAACGCGGCGUGCGGGAUGAAGGCCUUCGGGUUGAAAACAGAUUUAGCAUGUGACGAAGAGUGAGUGACGGUAAUGGGUAAAGAAGCACCGGCUAACUACGUG
rnacentral:rRNA from 1 species